UAGUUUGAUUAUGGCUCAGAACGAACGCUGGCGGCAGGCUUAACACAUGCAAGUCGAGCGAGACCUUCGGGUCUAGCGGCGGACGGGUGAGUAACGCGUGGGAACGUGCCCUUCUCUACGGAAUAGUCCCGGGAAACUGGGUUUAAUACCGUAUACGCCCUUCGGGGGAAAGAUUUAUCGGAGAAGGAUCGGCCCGCGCUAGAUUAGGUAGUUGGUGGGGUAAUGGCCUACCAAGCCUACGAUCUAUAGCUGGUUUUAGAGGAUGAUCAGCCACACUGGGACUGAGACACGGCCCAGACUCCUACGGGAGGCAGCAGUGGGGAAUCUUAGACAAUGGGCGCAAGCCUGAUCUAGCCAUGCCGCGUGAGUGAUGAAGGCCUUAGGGUCGUAAAGCUCUUUCGCUGGGGAAGAUAAUGACGGUACCCAGUAAAGAAACCCCGGCUAACUCCGUGCCAGCAGCCGCGGUAAUACGGAGGGGGUUAGCGUUGUUCGGAAUUACUGGGCGUAAAGCGCACGUAGGCGGACUGGAAAGUUGGGGGUGAAAUCCCGGGGCUCAACCUCGGAACUGCCUCCAAAACUAUCAGUCUGGAGUUCGAGAGAGGUGAGUGGAAUUCCGAGUGUAGAGGUGAAAUUCGUAGAUAUUCGGAGGAACACCAGUGGCGAAGGCGGCUCACUGGCUCGAUACUGACGCUGAGGUGCGAAAGUGUGGGGAGCAAACAGGAUUAGAUACCCUGGUAGUCCACACCGUAAACGAUG
rnacentral:rRNA from 1 species